GACGAACCGUGCGAACGUUGUUCGGAAUCACUGGGCUUAAAGGGCGCGUAGGCGGUCUGCCAAGUCUGGGGUGAAAUCCUCCGGCUCAACCGGAGAACGGCCUCGGAUACUGGCGGUCUCGAGGGAGGUAGGGGCGUGCGGAACUAAGGGUGGAGCGGUGAAAUGCGUUGAUAUCCUUUGGAACUCCGGUGGCGAAGGCGGCACGCUGGACCUCUUCUGACGCUGAGGCGCGAAAGCCAGGGGAGCAAACGGG
rnacentral:rRNA from 1 species